CUUCCCUUAGUUAAAUGGAUAUAACAAAUUCCUCCUAAGAAUUAGUUGUUGGUUCGAUUCCAGCAGGGGAGA
rnacentral:tRNA from 1 species